rnacentral:sRNA from 2 species
ACACUGUUAUUCCACGUUCGCCAAUUUCCGUCGCAUCGUAGGCUGGUAGCAUGUCGAAAUCAGUUCUCAGAGCGCAGGCAUCUACAACUUUAUUAUACCAUACGUCGUCAUAUCUUUUACCAAAAAGUAUAUUAUCUUUCGCAGUGGCGUUCUGAAUCCAAGCGUACUGGGGGCAGAAAGCCCGUGUAGCAUUCAUGCCAACUGUUCCGAUGACCGCAAUAAGUUCAUUACGGCCGAUCUCAAAAGUAAAAUCUUUGAGUUCGAAA